rnacentral:rRNA from 1 species
CCUUGAAGAUCGGAGUGCUUGCACUCUGUGAAACAAGAUACAGGCUAGCGGCGGACGGGUGAGUAACACGUGGGUAACCUGCCCAAGAGAUCGGGAUAACACCUGGAAACAGAUGCUAAUACCGGAUAACAACAGAUGAUGCCUAUCAACUGUUUAAAAGAUGGUUCUGCUAUCACUCUUGGAUGGACCUGCGGUGCAUUAGCUAGUUGGUAGGGUAACGGCCUACCAAGGCGAUGAUGCAUAGCCGAGUUGAGAGACUGAUCGGCCACAUUGGGACUGAGACACGGCCCAAACUCCUACGGGAGGCAGCAGUAGGGAAUCUUCCACAAUGGACGCAAGUCUGAUGGAGCAACGCCGCGUGAGUGAAGAAGGGUUUCGGCUCGUAAAGCUCUGUUGUUGGUGAAGAAGGACAGGGGUAGUAACUGACCUUUGUUUGACGGUAAUCAAUUAGAAAGUCACGGCUAACUACGUGCCAGCAGCCGCGGUAAUACGUAGGUGGCAAGCGUUGUCCGGAUUUAUUGGGCGUAAAGCGAGUGCAGGCGGUUCGAUAAGUCUGAUGUGAAAGCCUUCGGCUCAACCGGAGAAUUGCAUCAGAAACUGUCGAGCUUGAGUACAGAAGAGGAGAGUGGAACUCCAUGUGUAGCGGUGAAAUGC